GCGAUAACUUUAUCUGCCUUACGACAGCUUACAUCAGCUAUCAGCAGCAAUAAAAGUAGCACUUUCGCAUUGCACGGGUAAGACGCGACAGUAGGCCCGCAAGAUACCUUGCCUUGCCUUGUUCCCUCGCGUUCGCCGUUCGACAGGUACUGCCAUCUGGUACGGCUGCUAUGCUGCACACAGCUACCUCGGUUGACUACGCCAUAAAAUGACGGAUAAAGCAUUGUGCAUUUGCGAAAUUUUGGGUGUUCUAGAUGAGAGGAGCAUGAAAUGGAAACAAAAGCGCAGUAAAAAUUUGAAAGCGAAACUGACACGGCAGAAGCGGAUUCACAGUCGGUGCGGGUGUCGUCUGCUUCUGAAAGCGUCGUAGUGUGAUCAACAACAUGCUCGAAUUUUGAGUUUCACUGGCUAAUAUAGUUGCAAGAAAUUGACGCCAACGACGUACGUGUCCCAGAUCACCAGUCAGGUAUGAUUCAAACGACCCAGUGACUGUCACAAAGUUCAAAAUGGGUGCCACAAAAAUAAAUAGAUCACGAACGACUGCAGAAACCCACACGUGAUGUCACUGAAUUGAGCACGAAGACUCUGAAAAUAAAAUGUAAUAAAAGAUUAUAGAAAAACCAAACUGCUGACACAGUUGUAAUUCAAACUACCUGUUCGCAUUUGUGUGGAGCUGACAUCCUCAAACCUCUGCAUUGCCAUGUAUGACUUGACAAGUUCGGCAGCCUCGAGCCAUUUCUCAGCCUAUUAAAUAAAAACAAAGUUUUCUCUUU